UUCUAGAUAAACUGUGAUCCUAUUCACGAGCAAAUCAUUUUCAUAAAGUCUUCAACGACAACGUGUAUAUAUUACCUUUAACUUUAUAUACAAGCAAUUUAUUUUCGUCAAGUCUUCAAUUGUGCAUAUUCAUUGAUCAAGUCAAUUGACAAAGCAUCGACGAAAUGAAUUCUUUGAAGUGCAUCAUGCUUUUAUUGGCAUUUGUUCAAUUUGCAAAAACAUCGCCUGUCACUUUCUGGGAAUAUGUCGAUAAACCAGACAAACCUUUUGCGACAUGCCGAUGCCUACAAUCCUCCGAAGGAAGAGGAAUUUUACGUCGUUCGUGCAAAAAAUAUGAGACAGUCUGUAGAUAUUACUAUCCAGAUUUUGUUUGCUGUCAAAAGAUAUUUGUACUAUAAUAAAUUAAGUACAUUUCAUUGAAACUAAAAAUAAGUACAAUGUUAUUUGCUCAAUAUUUAAUUGUUGAAUGAUAUAAUAUUAAUUUAAAUAAUCAA